UAAUCGGGGUUGCGGACAGUGUCUGGUGGGUAGUUUGACUGGGGCGGUCUCCUCCUAAAGAGUAACGGAGGAGCACGAAGGUUGGCUAAUCCUGGUCGGACAUCAGGAGGUUAGUGCAAUGGCAUAAGCCAGCUUGACUGCGAGCGUGACGGCGCGAGCAGGUGCGAAAGCAGGUCAUAGUGAUCCGGUGGUUCUGAAUGGAAGGGCCAUCGCUCAACGGAUAAAAGGUACUCCGGGGAUAACAGGCUGAUACCGCCCAAGAGUUCAUAUCGACGGCGGUGUUUGGCACCUCGAUGUCGGCUCAUCACAUCCUGGGGCUGAAGUAGGUCCCAAGGGUAUGGCUGUUCGCCAUUUAAAGUGGUACGCGAGCUGGGUUUAGAACGUCGUGAGACAGUUCGGUCCCUAUCUGCCGUGGGCGCUGGAGAACUGAGGGGGGCUGCUCCUAGUACGAGAGGACCGGAGUGGACGCAUCACUGGUGUUCGGGUUGUCAUGCCAAUGGCACUGCCCGGUAGCUAAAUGCGGAAGAGAUAAGUGCUGAAAGCAUCUAAGCACGAAACUUGCCCCGAGAUGAGUUCUCCCUGACUCCUUGAGGGUCCUGAAGGAACGUUGAAGACGACGACGUUGAUAGGCCGGGUGUGUAAGCGCAGCGAUGCGUUGAGCUAACCGGUACUAAUGAACCGUGAGGCUUAACCUUACAACGCCGAAG
rnacentral:rRNA from 1 species